GUAUAAGUUUAUAGGCACAAAGGCCCGUUUAUUACAUUCUAUAAACAUACAUGGGGUAUAUGAAAAACAUAGACCUGAAAAUGCAAGGAAAGACAAAAAAAAAUCAAUCCUCAAACCCGAAUCUGUCAGGCAUUCGGAGAGAGUAUCCAGGUCUACAAAAGGUUCACAGGUGGAGAUAUAAAGAUGACAAGUGUGCACAUGCUCCCUAGAGAACCAGCAGCAACUCAUCAGGUUUAUUUCAAUAAUGAUCCUUCCGCAGGUUCACCUACGGAAA
rnacentral:misc_RNA from 1 species